CCCUAUGGGGUGCAGCAGGCGCGGAACCUUUACAAUGCACGAAAGUGUGAUAAGGGGAUUCUACGUGCUCAUGCAAUGCAUGGGCUUUUGCCAAGAGUAAAUAUCUUGGAGAAUAAGUGGUGGGUAAGACUGGUGCCAGCCGCCGCGGUAACACCAGCGCCACAAGUGGCAGUCACGAUUAUUGGGCCUAAAGCGUCCGUAGCUGGAUGAGUACAUCCCUUGUGAAAUCGCCGAGCUUAACUCGACGACGUGCUUGGGACACGGCUCAUCUUGGGAGCGGGAGGAGUCUGAGGUAUUCGAGGGGGACCGGUAAAAUGGUAUAAUCCCUCGAGGACCACCGAUGGCGAAGGCAUCAGACCAGAACGCGUCCGACAGUGAGGGACGAAAGCCAGGGGAGCGAACCGGAUUAGAUACCCGAGUAGUCCUGGCCGUAAACGCUGCGAGCUAGGCGUUGCAUUACCUAUGCGGUUCUGCAGUGUCGAAGCGAAGGCGAUAAGCUCGCCGCCUGGGGAGUACGGUCGCAAGGCUGAAACUUAAAGGAAUUGGCGGGGGCGCACCACAAGGGGUGCGGCGUGCGGUUUAAUCGAAUUUAACACCGAGAAUCUCACUAGGGGCGACGGCAAGAUGAUGGUCAGUCUGAAGGGCUUACCGGAUGAGCCGAGAGGUAGUGCAUGGCCC
rnacentral:rRNA from 1 species